GAUCGGACCAAAGCUGUUACUGUCACGGGCAGGGUAGAUCUGGGCUCAGCAGGGAUAUGUAUUUAACCCCCCUGAGCCCUGUGCCAGAUGGGAAGAUCUGUCAAGCCUGAUUGGAGAAAGGCAGCCACUGGGCCUCUUGGAGGGAGUUCUGUGUUAUUCUGGUACUCCCCAAAGUAAUGCUGAGUUGAAGAAGAGUGGACCAGCCAGCUGGCUUCUGGUUGACACCAGAAGAGUGAUGAGGGGGAGAGGGACAAUAAACUGAAUGCAGACUACACACAACAGAUCAGAAACAUGAAGCAGGAGGACCAGAGAGAGCUGUGUGAGUGCCUGCUCUCUGAAGGACUUUAAAUACUGGUAUGAUCCCCACCAGAUUUUUGGUUCAUGUUUCCACAACCUGAAGCUACCAAAAUUUUUUCUAUUUACAUAAUGCAAGAUUUGCAGGGUAUUCAGCAACACAUCCCAGGGUCCACCCUACAAUAUCUGUAUAGAUAUGACAUAAGUGCAGCUCUUCAACACGGUCUUAUGUUGGUAUGUUUGCCUAAUCAAGGUAGGUUAUCACAAUAUUAAUGUUUUAACCAAUGUGAUAAGUUUCCGGGAAGGUAGAAAGCUGAUUUUAGUAGAUGAUUGAAGAAAUAAUCCUACUUAGGAUACAGUUUUUGCAAUAGGAAUAGAAGAAAUAAACAUAAUGUGAUACCAGAACCAAGAGAAAAGGAGUAUAUAACAAUGCCAAAAUUAUAAAAAGAGAGGAGAAAGACAUUUUUGGGAAAGACAGUCCUUUACAUAAAUACUUUAGUUGAGUUGGUAAAUGGAAAAGAGUUCCACUGAUCUUGUUUACUGUUCCAUCAAUCUGUUAGAUAUUUCUGUAGUGCUGUUUGUUUCUUUAAUUUGACAUUACCACUUAUAUGUCUUGUGAAAUACCAUUUGAAUGCCAGGGCAACUGAGAUUUUGGAACACACUGUUGACAGCUGUUUUGGAACUACAAAUACGAUGUGUGCUACAUCUGGUGAGUCCGGAGUGAAAAAAUACAAUGGAAAAGCACAAUUUCUCAUUUGGAGCUGCUGUGCAGGGUUUACAAUAUCCAAGUACCUUACUCAGUAAAGGGACUGUUUAAUGACCUACCCAUAGAGAUAGUCUUUUAUAAUCAGUACAAAGAUUGAUUUGAGUAUUUCUGCAAAGCCGGUCCAUUCUUUCUAACUAGGAAAAUUGACAUAGAACAUGAAAGAGAGAUGCUUUAAAUGCUAAAUUAAAUCAGUGAAUCAAUAAAUGAUCUAAAAAUAUUUUGUCAUUAAUUUUCAUGACACAGCCAUGACUAUGCCAAGCAAGGCAUCAUGUGCACUCAAGCCUAAUAAAGUCUCAUACCUAUGACUCACUGAAAGAAGUAGCAGCCGGCCUCCUGGAAGCUGCAAUGAAUAAUCAAGGGAUUUUUUGGUGUCAGGCUAACAUUGUAGACACUACCAAGUAAAAGAGAGUGAAACCAAAAAUAAUGUACUUAAAAAAGUUAGAAGCAUAACAGCCAGGUGAGCAGUGUUAUCUCUGCCAGCUCCAGAACUGACUAUUCUUCAAAGUGAAUUUUGGUGUGUGUGUAUGUGGGUGAUCUAGAUGUCUGCACUGAUCUGCUCUUCUCCUAGUCCUGUUAUUUUACCAAGAGAAAGAAAGAAAGACUAAACUAACAACAGAAGAGACUGGCGUGCACUCUACACUGCUUCUUUUUCCCUUUCUUUCUUUAAACAGAGGUGGAGGUAUCAGACUGUGGAAUAGGAGUGUCAGACAUACUGAUGUUGCUCUGGGUCCUUGAACAGACUCGGGGUGACCAUUCAAAUAUGAGAAUUUCAGUAUAGGUGGGUACUUGACACUCAGAAGACAGUGCCCUCAGUACUUACAGGAAUCUAAUGGGGAACUGGAGAAAUCAUAAGGUCAUCUGUUAAUUCAGACACAAAUUUUCCUUUCAAUUUAUGUUUCAGAUGGCAAAUUUUUCUCAAGACUUAAUGUACGGGACCAUGAGAGCAACUGAUAGAGCUAAAAAUAAGUAUUUUUUUUCCAAUUAAAAAGGUGCACAGUGAUAUUUUAAAUGUCAAAGAAAUUAUAAUUCAGGCUUUCAUUGUAUUAUUACACUAUGCUGAAGCUAACAGUUUUCCAUUACUCCCUAAAUAAUAUGUAAUAAUGAUUUGAAUAAUAUGUAAUAAUGAUUUAGUGCACAGAAUAAAAAAAAAAUUAAAUAUUCAUAUUGAACCACAGAAGUUCUGGAAACCAUAUAACAUCUGGGUGCAGAGAAAACCCUAGAUCACCCAGCCAUUGUUUGGCCAUUGAUUCUGCAAGUAAAACCUCACUAGCUCCUACAAGUUUGAAAUACUACACAGUCUCUCAAACCUAUUCUGGAUGAGGGAAAACAGAAAAUUAACAUUUCAUAGAGGUAAAAUUGUAAUUUAAACUUUCUCUGAUAUUAAGUGAAUAAGAAGAAAGCUUUCUUAAAUAUAAGAGAACAAUCAGGAAUGUACAGGUCUCUCAUCUAACAAACAAUAACUUUUUUAUGGUCAAGUUUUCUCUUCUUAAGAGAAAAAUGGAGCUGACUAAGUAGCUUUGAUAUUUUCUCCAUUUUCUUUUCCUAACAGUAGCUUUCACUUCAUGUAAAAUCAUUCUGUGGCUGAUAUUCAAAUCCUUUAAAUAUGUAAUUUUCCCAAAAGCUAAAGUCAAGUUCUUUUUCUACUUCUUUAAUACAGAUUGAUUAGAUUGAGUGUCAGAACUCAACUAAGACCAUCUAAUGAUGGAGCUUGCUUCAGGAAAGGCCUUCAACAAGGAGUUGUAGUGCUCUCAGGCUGUCCUAGGCUCUACUGAACUUCUCAAAAUAUGACAGCAGGGGAAGUUUAUUUUGAUGACCACCUGUUCUUAGUUGGC